CCUACGGGAGGCAGCAGUAGGGAAUUUUCCGCAAUGGGCGAAAGCCUGACGGAGCAAUACCGCGUGAGGGAAGACUGCCUAUGGGUUGUAAACCUCUUUUUUCAGGGAGGAAUUUUGACGUGUACCUGAAGAAUAAGCAUCGGCUAACUCCGUGCCAGCAGCCGCGGUAAGACGGAGGAUGCAAGUGUUAUCCGGAAUCACUGGGCGUAAAGCGUCUGUAGGUGGUUAAACAAGUCAACUGUUAAAUCUUGAAGCUCAACUUCAAAAUCGCAGUCGAAACUGUUUGACUAGAGUAUAGUAGGGGUAAAGGGAAUUUCCAGUGGAGCGGUGAAAUGCGUAGAUAUUGGAAAGAACACCGAUGGCGAAGGCACUUUACUGGGCUAUUACUGACACUCAGAGACGAAAGCUAGGGUAGCAAAUGGGAUUAGAUACCCCAGUAGUCCUAGCCGUAAACAAUGGAUACUAGAUGUUGAACAGAUCGACCUGUGCAGUAUCAAAGCUAACGCGUUAAGUAUCCCGCCUGGGAAGUAUGCUCGCAAGAGUGAAACUCAAAGGAAUUGACGG
rnacentral:rRNA from 1 species